GGGACUAGAAGGGUGAGGAAGGGCUAGAAGUCAGAGACACUCUCCAGGCAAGGAAGCCUGGGGAAGACCCUACUCAAACAGGGAUCAAGCAGAGAGAAUCCAAGGAGUGUAACCCUAAGGAGACUGAAGUUACGGAGUGACCUGGCUGGAGAGCUGGGAAACCAGAGCACGGUUGAGGACAAAAUCUUCAGAGAGAAAGCCCAGGGGGCACUGCUGUAUGCCAGAGCAGGGACAGACUUAAAGCUAACCCAGAAGGGGCUGAGAACUGAACCCAGAGAAAGGGCUGAAGACACCAACAAGGGGACAGCAAUUGGACCUGUAUUACCCCGGAAGGAGUUCCUCCAUCUGCCUGGUAACUGUGUGCCUUAGCUGGAGGGCUCAGCCACUGGAGAUGUGCCUGACAAGGGCAACAGCUGACACGGGGCACAGAGAGCAGAGAAAGAAUGAAGGAUCGCACCCAGGUGACAGGAGGUGUUCAUGAGAGUCCAUCACAUGUUGUUCAUGAUGCUCACUCAGAAAUUUGUGCUGACAUCUUCCAUAACCUGCAAGCAUGUUCCCCAGAUAAGUCACUUUUCCAUGAACACAGAGCACCAUUAAGAC